GUGCUUUCCUAAAUAUGCUCCUGGUGGAGUCUUGUUUUUUAAGAAAGCAAUUGGGGUAGGAGCCUGCCAGGAAGGGAAAAUCACUGAGGGGAUUGGUGGUGAGGCAAAGUCCCAUUCUUUAUUUUUAUUCUUCACAGAGCCUUAUUAUCACUCUAAUUCCCUUCAUAGACUGAGGGUUUCACUGCCUGCUCCAAGCUAGCCUCUCCCACUUGGCUGUACCAUGAGUCUCUGGGGCCCCUUCAUCAUCUUGGUGCUGCUAACUCUCUGCUCAAAGCAAAAGGCUGCUGCAACAAAUCAAGAGUUCUGCAAGGAGGCUGAAGAUCAAGGCUCUUGCCGAGCUCUUAUCCCUAGAUGGUUCUAUGACUUUACCACCAGUACAUGUAGGCUGUUUAUCUAUGGAGGCUGUGAAGGCAACAGCAACAACUUCAAAAGCAAAGCUGAUUGUCUGCAAACCUGCAGUGGGAAAAGUAAGAGGGAACUCUCUUGACAUCUGGAUCCAGUCCUCCCCCAGGCUGGGGUAGCCUGAAAUACUUCCCCAGUGAUAUCUUUGUUACUUUGAAAUUCCUCCCAUAUUCCCAUUUCUCUAGACUUCUCAAACUACCCUUUAAAAUGCAGAUACUCUAGGAAGGCCAAAACUAUCAGAAUCAUUCACAUAUUAGUGUAAAUUCUUUUCAUCAGAGAUCUUUCUCUGUCAAAGGGCAAAGGUGAUUUAAAACUCUGGGAUAUUGCUCUGAUACUUCAGGCCUGAGUGUAGGUUAUGGGAAACAAAGAAACAAGAGGCUAGAGUCACAGAAACAGGAGUAAGAGUCAGAUCAGGACAAAUUUGGGCUGUCUUACAUCUGAAAGGAUUUGUUGAUUCCUACUGUGUACAUGGCACUGAGUAUCCCAAUAGUCCCAAGGAAGACCCUUUGAUGGGAGAGCUGUGGAUGACUUCCUUAUUGGGCACAGGAAAUGGAAAGGGGAGAUGGAGGUUUCUUAGUAAGAAUGAUAGAAAAUGCCCAGAACUGCUCAGGAUCAGAGGUGGGAAGUGGGGGGUAGUGAUAUAGCAUGAGAGGAAAGGGUGGUGAAGGAUUUCCAGAGGGAGAUAAUUGUCUACCAGUAUGAGUUCCACUUGGUCUAGGGCAACGAUUCCCUCAGUCUGUAGUUCUUACUGGGCAUUGUUUCCUCCCAAUUUCUGAUCCUGUUAAUCUCUUUUUCUGUUCCCACUCUCUAAAAGACUUUCUGAAAUAAAGUGAUUUAUCUCCUA